GACGAACGCUGGCGGCGUGCUUAACACAUGCAAGUCGAACGGUAAGGCCCUUCGGGGUACACGAGUGGCGAACGGGUGAGUAACACGUGGGUGAUCUGCCCUGCACUUCGGGAUAAGCCUGGGAAACUGGGUCUAAUACCGGAUAGGACUCCUGGCUUCAUGGUUGGGGGUGGAAAGCUUUUGCGGUGUGGGAUGGGCCCGCGGCCUAUCAGCUUGUUGGUGGGGUAAUGGCCUACCAAGGCGACGACGGGUAGCCGGCCUGAGAGGGUGACCGGUCACACUGGGGCGGAGAUACGGCCCAGACUCCUACGGGAGGCAGCAGUGGGGAAUAUUGCACAAUGGGCGCAAGCCUGAUGCAGCGGCGCCGCGUGAGGGAUGACGGCCAUCGGGUUGUAAACCUCUUUCAGCUAUGACGAAGCGCAAGUGACGGUAGUAGCAGAAGAAGGACCGGCCAACUACGUGCCAGCCGCCGCCGUAA
rnacentral:rRNA from 1 species